GUAACGGUGCUUUGGGGUUUUGUUGGGAGAAGACUUCCAUGUGACAUGCAUUCCACUGAGGGGGUAAAAUGCUAAAAUUAUACCUUCUAGGAGGCAUUGAUCAUUUUUCUCAGACUGUAUUGUCCUGAUCUCAGAUGAUGGGAUGAAACCAAAAAAAUUGGCAAGAUGUUGGCUUUAACUUAGCUUUCCCUAUGUAACAUAACUUUAGAUCUAGUAAUGGAUACUCAAGACCAUCUAGCCCAACAUUUUCAGAUGAAGACAUUGAGGGCCAGAGACUGGAUGGACUUGGCCAAGGUCACACAGUGAAGCAAUGACAGGAUAACAAAAAGAAAAUUUAUGUUAGGGGCCAGAAAAUACUUCCUUAAUCUUGAUGCAUCCUUCUAUCAUCAUAGGGACUCGCUUUAAAGAACUGGAGACAUCAGCUCAGCAAAAGCCCUCAAAAAUAAUGAGCUAUUGCUGCUCGAAUAUUUAUUUCUUCAGCUCUAGUUUAAGCAAAGGGCUGACACCCUGAUAUUUUAAGACAGAAGCAGGACAGAUAUAAUUUGAUGAUAAUGCAGUAGUUCGAAUACAGACACCAUGCUUGCAUUUCAUAUAACCUGUUCACAUUUCCUAAAGGGAUAGGAUGCAUUAGUUGGCAUGUACCACUGGUGUUACCUCUGUUGCAACCACGGUGCGACUACUGUUCCCACUCUGACCAUAUGAAUUUUCUCCAUCCUCUUCCCAUCUGCCAUCCACACCCUCCAUCUACUGGUUCUAGUUCUAACCUGGCUUCUAAUGCUGUGUGAUCCUUGGUGAAUUGCUUCACCACUCUGGGCCCCACAAGUGCAUCUAUACAGUGAGAGAAUGGGAUUCGAUCAGCAGUCCCAUACCCGAAUGCAGGGCUCAGAAACAAACAAACAUAAAAAUAAGACUGAUACACUUCGUUUACAUAUUAAAUACUAACUAAAAUAUUCU
rnacentral:lncRNA from 1 species